GACGAACGCUGGCGGCGUGCUUAACACAUGCAAGUCGAACGAUGAAGCUAGAGCUUGCUCUGGUGGAUUAGUGGCGAACGGGUGAGUAACACGUGAGUAACCUGCCCCGAACUCUGGGAUAACUGCUGGAAAAGGUAGCUAAUACUGGAUACGACCAACGAAGCCAUCUUCUGUUGGUGGACAGACUCUCGGUUCGGGAUGGACUCGCGGCCUACGAGCUUGUUGGUGGGGUAACGGCUCACCAAGGCGACGACGGGUAGCCGGCCUGAGAGGGUGAUCGGCCACCCGGGGCCUGAGACACGGCCCAGACUCGUACGGGAGGCAGCAGGGGGGAAUAUUGCACAAUGGGCGCGAGCCUGAUGCAGCAACGCCGCGUGAGGGAAGACGGCCUUCGGGUUGUAAACCUCUUCUAGUAGGGAAGAAGCGAAAGUGACGGUACCUGCAGAAAAAGCACCGGCUAACUACGUGCCAGCAGCCGCCGUAA
rnacentral:rRNA from 1 species